CUUUAAUGGUGGAGGGGGAAGAAAAGGAAAUCUUCACAAGGCCAUGGUUGCUACCCAAAUAAUGGCAAAGGAAAAGGCAAACAAGACAAGAAGCAGGGCAAAUGCCGUAGGAAAGCUAAACACAGUUGUCCCAGCCAAUCAUCAGCAAAGUCUCACAUGCCCACUUUUGGGUCAGAACAUGGAGCAGAGCCGGAUAACUCCGAAGAUCCGGAUAGACCGAAGGAAGACCGACCGACCGGAUUGAUCGAAGAUGUGGGCAUAGCGCGAAGAGACGGAGGCCAAACGUUGGGAGGAAGUCAGGAGGGGGCUAUUUGAUGAUGCCGUAGCUGCUCGUGCUGUGCCGAGUCCGGGUGAGGAUUGACUUGCUCGCUUUGCGAGAGUCUUGCGAGUGUAAGCUGCGGGAACUGCCCGGGGGGCGGCACUGUGCCACCAUUGUGAUGUUGAAGAGCACACCAUGCAGCCAUUUCACGCCAGGCGGCAGUGGGCGUCUGGGUUUAUGCAGACUUUGGCUGCAGGUACUUCUGUUACAUCAGCGGGAGGGUUCAUCC